rnacentral:lncRNA from 1 species
CCUCUCUCCACGUCCACGGCGCCGAGUCUCGCCACGGUGGCGCAGGCGCCAGGGAGGUUCCCCGGCUUUGCCGCGCGGAGGAAGUCCCGGUUACGCAGAGCGCGCUGGGGCAGGGCUGACCUUCCCCUUUCUCUACUUCACUGGCCUCCUCCAGACGUGGUGGUUGCGCCCUUUCGGCCUCGCUUUCCGUUUUUUGGCUUCAUCCCCUAGAUCUGCAAACAGUUCCUCGUGUUUCUUCCGUUAGCCGGGAAACGCGAACUGCAGCGUUUGGGACCCGGGUUUGCGCGUGUGGAAAGCAAAAGGGGUUACUCUGCUGGAGUUCGACAUUGCAAAUAAAGGUCUUUAUCCCCGGCGGUUCUACAAAAUUAGUUCUGCAGGGAUUCUGGUUGAAAGAAGCGUUAAAGUGGGCCUUGUAGGAGUCAGCAAUAAUCCAAUUUUACAUGGGUGCAGGUGGCUGCCUGUGUCUAGCGCUUUCACACAUCUCAUAUCUUCAUCCACGCCGUGGGUAUUUUUUUUCCACGGUGUGUUUCUGUUGCUGCCUCCAGUAUAUUGCUUAAUCAUCCUACCUGGUAAUUAUUUAUGCAUUUUUCUCCUACUCUCGACUCAGCUCCUAGGGAAUAAAAACACAUUAACUUAUCUUUGUGCCCACAGCACCCACCAAGUAUUUCCAUCACGUAAUACUGCCUCUAGAAAGGCAGGAGGAGAAGCAGUCACGCUAAGGAUCUAGGCAAGCCAGAUCUUUUGUCCGGUUUUAGGAGGUGGCCAGCCCUUACUUAUUCCACAAGUGUUUUUCCAGAAACUCAGACUUGAUAUUGCCUCAAGUCCAAGGCAGUGUGCUUCCCCCACUCACAUAUCACUAAUAGUAGCUAACAUUUGUUCAGAUCCCUGUAUGUACUCUGCCACUGUUUUAAAUGUUACACCCGGGUUACCUCAUUUAAUCCUUACAACUGCCCUGUGAGGUAGGUACUAUUAUUAUCUCUACUUUGUAGAUGGGAUUCACCGAGGCACAGACGGUUAAAAAACCUAGCCCAAAUAACACAAAUAAACAGCAGAGCAUGCAGUGCUAGAGUCUGCAUUCUUAACAAUUGCUAUAUUCUCCCUCUCCGUGAAUGUGGGCUGAGAUGCUGAAACAGGCAUGUGCUGUGGGGGAGAAAAAGCUUUGUCCAACCAAGUGCUUUCUAAUGUCCAGAUGACAUAGAGCUAGGAUUUCCUAAUGUCUUUUUUCCCCUAUUUUUCUCUCCAUUUCAGGGUUGAGUUUGUGCAUCGAUUGUGAACACAACAGGCAGCAGGCUAUAAUGGUGGUCCUGGCUGGAGUAGUUUUCACAGACUUCAGUAAUCUGUGGAGAUGAACGGGCAGUUCUCUGUAGUUUUCACAGAUCACUGCCAGUUCGUUUUGAGGCCUUCAGGAGUGAAGACCUGGCUCAUCAUCACUCUUUGUUGUUUUGUUAAAUUUAUUUACACCCUACUUUAUUCCAGAGGAAAGGAUUUAACGUAGUUUACAUAAAUGUGUACAUCAGGGUAAAUUAAAAAUAAGUACAGAGAAAAAUAGGACAAAAGAAAACCGUGAGUGUGAAAGAUAAGAUUAAGCCAGCAGUUUUGUAUGCAAAAUGCAUGGUGUAAGGUCCUAUUGGUUUGCUGGAGGUAGGCCACACAUAUGACUCUCAGUUUUCUAGCAACCAAGAAAAAGAUCAGUUGCAAUCGGAGUAGGUGUUUUGGCUAAGCUGGAACUAGGACUUGAAUAUAGCAGCUUGUAGAGUUAUACCACUUGCCCAAAUCUCUUCCAUGAGCCUCUUUAAGUGUAACAGAAUGCCUGGGAGCACGUAAAUGCUCCUACUUAGAUGCCUACUUAGCCUCUAAUUUUCAUGGGGCCCAUGAAUCCCAUGAAAAAGAACUUUGAACCCUGUCCACAAUUAGAGUUCAGGUAUACGCAGACAUGUUUAAAGACAAGGGACACCCAAAGGAAAGAUUGCACAGAGAGAAAGUGAGCAUCCGAGAGAAAAUCACCACAAGUGAGGCAGAGGGAGGCCGGUCUCAGCAGAGUUUUGGAGGUCGUGAGAAGAAGAGGUAGGAGAUAGGAGAGUGGUUCCGAGUACUUGCCUGCUGAUGUUACCUUCUCCACCCCCACCAGGUUUUCCAGUGCCUGGAGUCUUGGGCAGGAAUGGGCCACUGUAAGAAAGAGCUUUAUCACUAGGGCCUCAGCCAACUUUUCUGUGGGAUAUCCCUCCAAAAUAAUUAAGAGUUCAGAAUGCUUCAGAUUUUGAAGUGAAACUGGUACAUAUAUUAAGUGUUACUUAAUAACCCGAUAGUUUCUAGGGCAGCUCACCAUAAUCCCAAGUAUUAGCCACCACCCUCACCCCCUUCAGAGUAAAAUGUGUUUCCUGAAGGAAGUUGGGAAAAUGAAGAAAAAAAAUACAAAAAUCACCUAUAAUCUUACCAGUCAUAGAUGGCAGUUUUCCUGUCUUAUUUCUGAAUAAUGGUUGUUAAACAUUUGCCAGCACACCAUAAGGCUUAGGGAGGCAUCUGGGUCAUGCAUGUUAAUAUCCUUGGGUAAUUCCAGAAAUCUCUAUGAAGGGAAACUCCUGUUAUUUAUCUAGACUUCCUGAUUGCAAGGGGUUUGGGCAUCAUGAUUUAGGGGUCUUAAUAAAAUUAUUAUUUUAUUUUUACUAAUAGAUAAUGUCUGUGCCUAUCAGAUAAAGGCAAACCAGUGCUCAGAGGAACCCAACCAUCUCUGAAUUGAGACCAGAGAGCUGUCUCUAUGGAUAGUCCUUAGAGAAGGCAUUUCGGAACACAGUAAACAGCAGCCUGGUGACUCCGAUUACAGGGCCAGUUGCCUUUGUUACAAUAAAAGCAAGUCAUCUACACAGGCUGGAGUGUAGUGCCAUGAUCUCGGCCCGCUGCGAUCCCCACCUCCUGGGUUCAAGUGAUUCUCCUGCCUCAGCCUCCUGAGUAGCUGGGAUUAC